rnacentral:rRNA from 1 species
GAUGAACGCUGGCGGCGUGCCUAACACAUGCAAGUCGAACGAUGAAGCCCAGCUUGCUGGCUGGUUUGGUGGGGAACGGGCGGGUAAGUCGUGAGUAACUUGCCCUCAACUUUGGGGUAGGCCAGGGAAACUGGGGAUAAUACCGAAUACGAGAGCCUACCUCAGGGUGGGUGUUGGAAAGAUUUGUGGGUUUUGGAUGGACGCGCGGCAAAUUAGGUUGUGGGAGAUGGAAGGGCACACCACGGCGAAGACGGGUAGCCGUCCUGAGACGGUGACCGGGCACACUGGGACUGAGGAACGGCCCAGAGGGCAACGUGGGGCAGCGGUGGGGAAUAUUGCACACUGGGCGAAAGCCUGAUGCAGCGACGCCGGGUGGGGGAUGACGGCCUUCGGGUUAUAAACCGCUUUCGGUUGGGAAGAAGCGAAUGUGACGGUACCUGAAGAAGAAGCACCGGCUAACUACGUG